rnacentral:rRNA from 1 species
AAAUUGCCCAAUCCUGAUUCAGGGAGGCAGUGACAAGAAAUAACAACUUUUCAACUUUGUUGAAAAGUGUAAUGAGGAUAAUUUACAAACCUUACCGAAAGCAAUUGGAGGGCAAGUCUGGUGCCAGCAGCCGCGGUAAUUCCAGCUCCAAAAGCGUAUAUUAAAGUUGUUGCAGUUAAAAAGCUCGUAGUUGAAGUUCUGGCUGUAUUGGGCCUCUGCACUCGAUGCGGAGGAACCAGCAGUCAUCCGCUUGCAAAUACAUGUCCUUCCUUAACCGGUAGGCUGUAUAAGUAAGCACUUUUACCUUGAGAAAAACAGAGUGUUCCAGGCAGGUUUGUCCGGAAUGCGUUAGCAUGGAAUAAUAGAAUAUGACUGAAGUCGAUUUUAUUGGUUAAAGGCUUUAGUAAUGAUUAAUAGGUAACAAUCGGGGGGCAUUGGUACUUGUCAGUCAGAGGUGAAAUUCUAGGAUUUGACAAAGACUAACUGAUGCGAAAGCGUUUGCCAAGAAUGUUUUCAUUAAUCAAGAACGAAAGUU